rnacentral:ncRNA from 1 species
CGAACGGGGGAGCUCGAAGAUCGGGCUGAGAGGGAGCGGAAGUGCGCUUCGACCCCAUGAACCUGAUGUGGACAAUGCCAACGAAGGGAGCAUCA